CAGGUGCUGGCCCACACGCAGCUGCAGCGGCCGGUGCCACCGCCAACCUGCGGGACCCCGGCUCGCCCUAGAAACGCCGGACCGCAGGGAGCACUGCGGAGGGGGCCGGUCCGCGAAAUGGGUUUCUUUUGUGCUGUUGCAAACAGCUCAACAGUUUUUAAGGAGGAAAAGCCGCGUUUGGGUAAAUUCCCCGCCGGCGGGCCCGGCUGCACGGCCCCGUUGCCACGGUGACGACCCCCCGCCCCCUCCGGGGCGUCUUCACCAUGGCAAUCGCUCGUGGGCGGAUGGGCGGGAGGAUGGGCCAAUCAGAGCGCGGGCGCUGCGCUCCCUUUGGUCGGAUCGCCUCGCCGGUGGGGAUUGACGGCGGCGACGGGCCAAUGGAGCGGGGCCGCCCGAGGAAGGGGGGAGAGCGAAGACCAAUAGGCGUGCGCCAUGGGCGGGCUGGGCCCGCUCGAAACCGGAGCGGGGCGGUCCGGGGGGAAAGCGGGGCUCAGCGGACGGGGCCGGGCCCGGCCCGCGCGGCCGCCGCGAGCACGUCGUGAGGCAGCUGGGUCGCGUCAAGGGUCACCUUCUGCGGCACGGCAAGAAAAUCCUGCACGGCUCAUUCUGCUUGCUGCUCGGGUUUCAUUUGGAUAAUUUUAGAAGAGCAAUUAAGUGACGUGCCUGUGUAAAAGUGCUGGCAAUACCGGGAAGAACGUCAACUGCCAGCGUUUCUUCUGCGGUCGCCCUUUCUUCUGCCACGACAGUACGGGACAGAUGGAAAGGAUCCGGAGUGCUCUGUGAGUAUGUGCAAUCCAGGUCAAAGAAGAGACAUGGACAAAACAGGACAAAUCAGCGUCGCUUCUGCAUGUUUUCCAGGCUUUGACACGAAGCAUCAGCAGCCUCGUAACUGCUGACGGCGAGUCCUGAUGUGGUUUUGUUUACCCUUCCUUCUCGGCUGCAUUGACCCAGCGAGCGAGGUGGGCAGCGGCAGCGUGAGGGCUGUACCUGCGGCGGUGGGUCUGUCAGCAUCGAUUGUGGUGUUACAGCGCAGCCUGCUCCUGCCACCCCGCUGGGUGAUCUCCCUGCAGCCGCACUGGGAGGAAGGGGCCAGGCGUUUCCCAGCGCCGGCCAGAGUGUUCGCCCUUACGCUGAGAACGUAAUGGCAUCCUGGCUUUUGCAGGCUGUGCUGUGUUUGGAGCUGAGCUGCUUCCCCAGAAUCCUCCUGUAGCUCAGCGACUGUCCUGUCCCUCGGUCUGACGGAAUUCCUCUACUCCCUUCCGGGCUAUUUUUUAAGAUGCUGAGCUAUAACUGGGGAUUUUGUUUUCCAGGUGCCUCGUCGUAGGCGUCUCGUGCUGCUCGAGAGAUGCCCCAGCCCAGGUUUGCAGCCGGGGGCAGAGCCUCCCUGAGGGGAAGGGGCCAGCCCUGGGUCUGGGUGUUUUGGGCAUUUUUUUGGAGUGAAUAGAAGGACGUCUGUGUGUCUCAGGGUUGUGAUGAUGUCAUUUGGGGUACCUCGAUGUCAUUGGGGCAGCGAUGAUGCGGCAGAGGAGCAGGUGAGUGGGGGAUGUGGGGUUACGUGAGGGUCUCCCAAAAGAGGUGGUUCACAGCCCCAAAACGUCUGAAAAUCUUGGGAUGCAUUAAAAAAAUGUGAAAACCUGUAACUAUGGGCGUGAGGCACUGAAAUAGAGAACAAUCUCUCAUUUAUAUAUGAUAAAUAUAUACAUUGAGAAAUAAUAGUAUGUAUGUAAAAUAAGUUCAAAAUAAAAACCUCUAUGUCUAAGGA